GAUGGUUGUUAUUUGAGUAGUGUAUUCUAAUGGUUUCCACUACAGAUACCAUUACAAACCAUCAGCUAACCAUUAACCCUCAUUCCUUGUCUGUUAAAUAUGUUGGUAGAAUGAGGGUUAAUGGUUAGCUUAUGGUUUGUAAUGGUAUCUGUAGUGGAAACCAUUAGAAAUUCCUCUGAUGGUUUCUAUUGUUUGUUUGUUUGUUUUCAGCAGGGAAGCUUCUCCUUUCAGCUUUGUCAUGUCUGAAUGCUCUAAAACCGAAAUUAAAUCUCCUCCCUAACACAAGUAAACCGGACUAGCCUGGAACAGCAGACAGCGAUUUAUUUAGUCAUGGCCAGAAACGCAGCCCUUCUCUGUUCGAGCUCCUCCGCGGUGUGUUGACGCAGAUUAGUCCAGAUGGCAGAAGUCAGAAACUGUUCCGCAGAGAGGACAUCCGGUGCUUUAUAGCAACGCUCACAGGCCUGUCUUAGCGAUUUAGAGAAGACAAAGUAGAUGCUUCUCGAAGCAUGGAUGGGACUGUCGUCUUGUUACUGGACGAAAAGAGUAUAAUCUUGCAGGCUUUGGUCUUCCCCGCUGGAUCCUACAGGAAAUGAGGGCUCGGCUGUGGUGAUUCUGCUGCAGCUGCGCGGCUCGUGCUUUGUCGUUUUCAUCUCUCGAGAACGACUCUUAUAGACGCUAACGACCACAUCUGGCUUUUCUUACUUUUUUAAAGGAAUAUACCGUUUACGUCGACAGUAAAAAGGUGGUACUUCAGAUUUGAUCUCUGGGGACAUGAGCUGACUCCAGGCUGGCCUGGCUAUUGUGUUGUGGUCUGUGCAAAAUACUCCCCCCUUCUACAGACACACUCAUACACGUACACACUCAUAGCCACACCUGCACAUACUGACACCUGGUUUUAGCAGCGUGGCGGGCAGUGAGGCUGAGCGUGAUGGCUCAGAGGGGCAGGGCCGUGUGCCUUUGCGCCACAGAGCACUGGUGAGUGUGGGAGUGCUGCUGAUGGCCCUCGGUGUUGUCCUCAUGAUGUUUGCUACAGUGUACACUGUUGCAUUUGGAGCUGCCUUUGCUGCACUUGGCUUUGGUGUUCUCAUCUGGUCCUUCUGCAGAGUGAUGAAGUCCAGCAACCCUAACAUGACCAUCCCAGGUCACUUCCUGCUGACCUCGCGCACGGGCACCCAGUACACAUAUGAGCAAGCCAUCGCUUUGCAGAGGUAAAGAAGCCCUUAUGUCCUUUUUAAUGUGGAACCAUGAAUGACAUGAAACCAGGAGUAUUCUGUUGCUAUUUCUUUAUGCCGCUAAUACUUGAGAUGAAGAUUAGCGAUUAUCUGGAACAUCCAUUGCUAAACAGUAAACAGAGCCUGAGGGUUAAUGAGUAACAUUAUAGCGAGGUGAGAGAAAGGCAAACAGGGCUCGCAAAUGGCAAAGACGCUGACACAAUCAAAUGAAAAGUGGUUCCAGGUUUGUUCUGUUCGAGUGUCCAUGCCAUCUAGUUUUUGCACUAGCUUUAGGUAAACAAAAAUAUAAACGACAAAUAUGGUAAUAAAAUAGAGAAGAUAGAGAAAACAAGUGGGGGUAAAACUGCAGUGUUCCUCCAGUGGAUGACAGACAUGAUGGUCCAGCCCCCUGUCCUGACGGUGACCCUGUUCUUUAAACCCAGUCUAAAGCACAAAAUGCAAGGGGAAGCCAUGAACUCAGCACUUAUUUCUUCUAGAAACUUUUGAGCCACAGUGCUGGAGCUGAACUGGUCACAGGUUGUGAUACACAUCAGAUACCUCAGUGCAUGUGGACAGACCACUGUAGACAAAAAUGUAGCUGUUUGAAGUUUAUUGUGAACUUUUGCUGUGGCGUUAGGUGCCCUUUUAUUCUGUAAGAUCGGUAGUUCAAGACAAAGCAUGCAGUGGUUGCUUAACAGCUUCCUCUGUCUUAAUUUGGUCCACGUCUGAGAGCAAGAAAAAGUAGGCAAGUUGCCAGUCAGAUUCUUUUGAGCUGUUGGUAUGUCACCAAAGCGGUCUCAUACCAGAAUGUUCAUGAGAGACAAUGCUAGGGUUGUUUCUCAGAACUAGGCUGGAGAGGACAUGAGUUGCAUCUGUUGCCAAAUCCCUGUGCUUUCUUGAUGGUAAUCGCAUGAUUAGGAAAACAAAUGCUAACAGAAACCAGAGUCGGCUGAAAGCAAGUUUCGCAAGGGCUGGAAAGAGUAUUUUGCUGACAUCAUCUAAAAUGUUCUAGAGGGUCUCUCCCUUUUUUCCUCCUCUGUCUCUUUUUGGAAUUGAAGUAGUUUGUAUGAGAGCAUAAACACUCCAGCUGAUUGUAUAUUCUCAACACUGGGUCUACUCCACUAAGCCCCGAGCAUGAGCAAAUAGGCUGCAAAUUUUCAAAAAAGAGUCAUGCCAGGUUUGGGUUGUUUGAAUUUCUGUUUACAUUGGGCCUUUGUUGAUUCCUUCCCUUACCAUAUGAUAACGCACGUUGAUAAGAAGCAGACUAAUUUGGAUCAUUUAUUUAAAAUACUACAACCCCAAUUCUGAAAAAAAGUUGGGACAGUAUGGAAAAUGCAAAAGAACAAACAAAAAGAGUCAUUUGAAAAUUCACUUCACCCUGUACUACGUAUAUUGAAAGCACAUUAACACAUUAUUUAAUGUUUUACUUUGUGAAUUUGAUCUAUUUUUGAAAAUAUACACUUAAUUUCAAAUCUGACAACUGCAACACACUGCAAAAAAGUUGGGACAGUCGACUGUUUACCCCUGUGUACCAUCACCUUUUCUUUUAAUAACACUUAGUAAGUGUUUGUGAACUGAAGAUACCAGUUGGUUAAGUUUAGCAAGUGGAAUUUUCCCCCAUUCAUCCGCACUCACUGCUUACGCAACCAUACGCUUGUAAUCCAGGCAGAAUGUGGUUUGGCAUUGUCCUGCUCUGGAUGGCAGCAUAUGUUGCUCCAAAAUGUGUACAUAUCUUCCUGCAUUAAUGCUGCCCUCACAGAUGUGCAAGUUACUCAUGGAUAGUGACACCCCCCCAUACCAUGACAGCCGCUGGAUUUUGGACCUGACGCUGAUAACAGCUUGGAUGGUCCUUUUCCUCUUUGACCCCGAGAACAUGACGGCUGUUUUGUCUAAAAACUAUGUGAAAUGUCGACUCGUCGGACCACAAAACACGAUUCCACUGUGCUUCUGUCCAUCUCAGAUGAGACCGAGCCCAGAGAAGUCGGCGGCGCUUUGCAUAGUAAAGCCUUCACUUGCAUCUGUGGAUGCAGCGGCAAAUGGUGUUCACUGUCAAAGGUUUACCAAAGUAUUCCCGAGCCCAUGUCAGGAUAUCCAUUACAGACUCAUGACAGGGAUUGGAGAUCACGCGUAUAAAUGUUUACCUUCAAAGGUAAACAUGAAAUACCUUGUUGUCAUACGUUUUUUGUUUAAAUACAAGUCAAAGUGUAUUUACAAAUCACUCCUCUUUGUUUUUAUUAGCAUUUUCCAUACUGUCCCAACUUUUUCAGAAUUGGGAUUGUAAAAGCAUCAUGAAGUACAAGAGCAAAACCAUGUUGUUGCAAGCUCUGAUGAAGUUACUAAGUUUUGUUUGACUGCUAGCCAGCUGAAAGUCUUGAUUAAUGUUCUGGCUGCAGGUAGACAGGAUCUGUUCUUUCUCUGUUUGAUUUAAAGAUAUCUGUGCAUCUUCUCUGUUAUAAGAGGAAGCCUGAAGAUGACAGCUUAAUUAUAUACUGUAAAUAAUAAAAUGUACUUUCAUAUCACAUUGUAUACAGUCUCUAAAGUCUUGCCCAGUGAUGAAGCUUAACCUAGAUUAUUGUUGAAUUUUACAUAAAGAAUGCUAUUUACAUUAUCAACUUUUUUAUUUAUUUAUUUUUUAAAAUAAAGUUUAUGAUGGUUUGGUCAGUGUUUUUUUUGAGGGGGAGCUAAAAAACCCUACCUCUAAACACUAUUCUAUUGAUAUAGAACUGGAAGACGUUCUCUUGAUAGCAUUGGCUUGUCUAUAGUGACCAAAUUAAUAAAUGGGCAAAAUAAAAUACAUGAUUAGCAAUUGUCUACUAUUGGAAAGUUUAUCUAGCAGAUACCUGAAGUAAACAAGUAAUAUAGAGCCAGUGCUUUUAGCUCUGAGGAAGGAAAUAUCUUGUCUUGUAUUGGCUGGCAACUUAUCACAGUGGGCAACUAUUUAUAAUUCUUUAUCGUUUACAGGAGGCUGGACAGGAUCCGCAGAGCUUCAGCAGAAGAGCGGCGCUCAGCCCAGAUCUCCCCUCCAAUACUCCCCGGUCUCCACAGCCUACCUGGAACGCCACCUCCCUGGGACAUGGAGCCUCCACCAUCCUAUGAGACUGUCAUGAAGACCACCACACUCCCACAGCCAGCUAUGAUUAUGACUCAGUCGUUCUGACCACUUGAGAACAAUGAUAACCAAUUAGGUGCUAAUGAGAGCUAAGUGCUGAAUCCCAGGCUGUAUGUUUUCAGUAUUUGUUCCAAAUCACUCAGGCAGUUUGAAAACCAUAAGUGGCCAUUAUGAGCUCGUCUGAUUAUAUCCAGUAAGUAGCAUUGCCUCAUCAAUGGCUUCAUGCUAGUUAUAUGACUUUUUAUUACCUAAUAAUACCAAGUAACUUGCAACUUUAAUCCUAUGUGGAAAUGUGUCUACGUUUUUACUCCUUAGAAGUGCCCCUGACAUAGAAAUCCCCAGCAGAGUACAUUUUUCUUCAGAGUAAAUGCUUUGUUGCCCAAAAAGUUUAGAGCCAUUGAUAAAACUCUGCUAAAAGUGGGACAGGAGUCAAUUUUAUGGCUGAUAAAUAAACUGACUGUUUUUUUUGGGGGGGGUUGUACUUUAAGUAUACAAUAUUCAGGGAGUUCUUUUGGUUUGGUUUCUCCUUCGACGAUGGGCAAAAAAAGUUAGGAAACAACUUUUUGCCCAUUUCUGUUCUCGACAAAGUGAAAGUGUGUAAAAAUAAUUUUGGGAUAUUUGCCGUCUACUGCCUGUUUCCAUCCAAUUCUCCUUUUAUCGAUAAAAUGGUGUGCGUGAUGAUGUCAUCCUUUAAAAAAAAACAAAUUGUCGCAUAAGUUUUGGUGUAUCGCAAAAUAAAUCUGCCCUUGAGCCGGUUAUAUACAUCAUUUUGUGUAGAUCACAAAUUGUGUAUACCUUUCGCGUCCCGUGUGUCCUCAAAUCAGGGGAAAAUAGAGAGUAUUGAGAUAAUGAAACAAAAUUGACCAGCUUACUUUCAUUUUAAUUUCACAAAUAAUUGCAGUUGUAUGAAAUAUCAGAGGACGAGGUCAGAAUGGAGCAGCUGCUCGUCUGAUAGUAUGCUGAAGUCCAUGGGCAUAGCCGGAGUGGCUCAUCAGGAGAAUCGGGAGAAUUCCCAGUGGGCCGUUCAUAAAUUUGGCUCAUAAAAUAAGCUUGUGUUACAUUAUUGUGUGACUGAUAAGGAAAGUAAUGAAUUACACUUCAUUUGUAUUUAAAGCAGCGCAUCAGUUACUUAUGCAUAAAAAGUGCCGUUUUCUCACGUUACUUGGCUCAACACGUGUUCUCUCUCUCUCUCUCUCUCUCUCUCUCUCUCUCUCACAUACACACACACGCAAAUGCGUGUACUCAGGUCGUUACCAUGGAGAUACCAAAAGUAUAUUUCUUACUGUAAUACUUCAUAUUUGUUUGAAUGCAAACAAACAUUUUUUCAUAAUGUUACAUUUGGACUUUUAUAACAGAAAACAAUACUCAGUAUGUCAUUUGUUAUUUAUCUUUAUAUUCUUGUUGAAACACAUCAGUAAUAAAUAUAACGGGAUAGUAAGAACUGAACUGCCACUUCAUUUAUCAGAGUUCUUCCACCCCGAAAAAAAGGGCUGGUCUUGGGCAUUAAACUCCCGAGGUGAAAAUGGGUCCCACUCCGGCCCCGCCCAUGGUGGAGGUAGUGUUGGAGAGCUGCGCCCAUCACAGAUUAGCACCAAUCACUGGUUUUGACCUGAAAGCGGAUUGCUCUCGCCCUGCUCAAGCUGGCAUCCUGCACCGACACUACAGUGUUGCAGUGGGGAAACCUUCGGGGUUAGUAAAACGACUGUCCAUCGAUGUGUAUGUGUGUGUGCACAGCUAAUAAAGAAAAACUAAUGCGGCGUUAUAUCAGGCUGCUAAAUGUAGUGGGAGACCAAAAAAAUUUCAAUGCACUAAAACUUUUUUUGAAGAAAAAAAAAAAAAAACCUUGGAUGGAAAUGUGGCUAUAGAUUUCCAGCUAUUUUACAACAGGAGAAAAAUAUUUUGUCCGUAUCUCUUUAUAAUGAUCGAGACAAAUAGUUUAAGUAUGUCUUUUAAAAAAAAAAAUUGAAUGUAGUAGUGGAUAAAGUGGGAAAGUAGUACUCCUCAGGAAAAAAAAACAGAUUUGGCCCUCUGGGGGAAGGCAUUUAUAGAAUCCUAGAGCAAAGAGUUUCCUUCUGAGAAAAACUCUUAACUAUCCAAAGAAUACUUUACAGAAACAUUUUCUUUUCCUAAAAGUGAAUGGCAGCGAAAAGGCUGUAGAUGUGCUUGUAGAACCACAUGCAUAGUCAUAGCUGUCCUUUAAUGACAGAUUUAACAUAAUUCACUUUGGCCGAAUAGUUUCUUUUUAUAGUUGCUUUCUGAGAGGGAAGAGAGGAAGUUCUUCUUUUGAGACAACAUCAGGAAAUGACCCUGACAGUCCCUGAGCUGAGUUUGAAAAAUCAUGUUUCAGAUCCAGAGUAAUGCCUGGUGGGGAAUUUGCAUUUCUACAUUAUAAAGGAGCAAUAUGCACAUUACAGCAUGGGAAACAAUGAUAAUGAAAGAAUAGUAUAAUAUCCCAGAUAGUUAUUGACAGUGCCAAGAACAGUGCUGUUAUGUUGCUAUUAGGAAUGUGUGUGACAGAUUACUUCACCCCAUCUUCCUGACCCUUUACAGACAGUUUCAGAUCAUUGUAGAUACUUUCAUGACAAUCCUGCAGUAUUAAUACCACUACAACACUACGGUGCAAAUGAAAGGGAAUAGAUUUUUGGCUAAGCUGAUAGACAGAUUAGAUUGUAACAAAGUUUGUGUGUUUAUAAUUCGUGUGUGUGUGUGUGUGUGUGUGUGUGUGUUGCUUUACUGGUCUUGCUUUGCUAGCUGAAAGCAUCUUCUAUUAUAACUGUGGAUUUAUCCUGACAGUGGCAUUUUUUUUUUUUUUAAAUUCUUGGUAGUGCCUUGGACCACUGAUCAGUUUAAUGGCUCAUAAACUUUAACGUCUUGGACCAGCAUGUGUUAUUUAAGAGGAGGACAUUCUUGAUUUUCAUUUUGCCACAAGUUUAUGUAGUGACAUGUUGUAAAAGAAAUGCACUGCCCUGACUGAAUGUAAAACACUUCUCUUUCCCAAUACUUCCCUUCUCAUGUACACUACUUAAUACACAAGCAUAUGUGCCACAGGCAUUUUAAAUCAAAUAUACUUAUUAUAUAUAUAUGUUUGAGUUGUGUAUUUGCUUAACUUUUGUAUAAACCUUUUUCAUUUCACUCUUUGAUAUUUUGAUGUUUAAUGUCAAAUAAAAGAAUUAAAUCAAUUUACUGCUCACUAUACAUCACUUCAGUGCUGAAAAGCUGUUGAGAUUUGAUGAUGUCUGUGUGGAGCAAUAAGAUAGCAAGCAUCGCUGUUGAGCUGAGUGGCCUAAUAUUAAACCUGUAUGUAAUUCCACAACAGAUAGUUAACGAGGCUAAACCAGAUUGCAGCAUAAAAACCAAAUUAUCUGUGAAUGAGACAAAUUAUAUGUUGAAACCAAGUCGUAACCCACAAUGGUUAUUAAUUGUUGCAUAAUCUUGUUUUAGUUUCACUUAACAUUAUAAAGUAUUAAGUAGUAUAAAUUCAGGGUAUGUAUAAAGAUUUCAUACUGUAUUAUAAUGAAUAUUGCUAAAAUAUGUGGAAAAUUUAGUUUUCAGGUGUUUUUGUCUCACUUAUUUAUUUAUCAAUAUGCAGUAUACUAGCAUUCACAGUAUAUACUAGACACUAAUGACAAUGUAUAAUAAGUACACAGUGUACAUUGUAGGUCAGCUUCAACUGAUAUUACUGAAAUGCAUUUAACUUAACUGAUGUAUUAUUAUUUAAACUAUUG
ensembl:lncRNA